rfam:Triticum aestivum genome assembly, contig: Triticum_aestivum_CS42_TGACv1_scaffold_178413_2DS
ACUCUAUUACCUCCGUCCCAAAUUAGUUGUCUUAGAUUUGUCUAGGCACGUAUGUAUCUAACACUAAAACAUGUCUAUCUAGACAAGUCUGAGUCAACUAAUUUGGGACGGAGGGAGUAAAUG